CCUACGGGGGGCAGCAGUAGGGAAUCUUCCACAAUGGGCGAAAGCCUGAUGCAGCAACGCCGCGUGGGUGAAGAAGGUCUUCGGAUCGUAAAACCCUGUUGUUAGAGAAGAAAGUGCGUGAGAGUAACUGUUCACGUUUCGACGGUAUCUAACCAGAAAGGCACGGCUAACUACGUGCCAGCAGCCGCGGUAAUACGUAGGAGGCAAGCGUUAUCCGGAUUUAUUGGGCGUAAAGGGAACGCAGGCGGUUUUUUAAGUCUGAUGUGAAAGCCUUCGGCUGAACCGUAGUAGUGCAUUGGAAACUGGGAGACUUGAGUGCAGAUGAGGAGAGUGGAACUCCAUGUGUAGCGGUGAAAUGCGUAGAUAUAUGGAAGAACACCAGUGGCGAAGGCAGCUCUCUGGUCUGUAACUGACGCUGAGGUUCGAAAGCGUGGGUAGCAAACAGGAUUAGAUACCCUUGUAGUC
rnacentral:rRNA from 1 species